ACUUAAAUAGCUUAAAUUUUAAAGCCUAACUUUGAAGAAGUUAUUAUAGGUAAAACCUUUUAAGUA
rnacentral:tRNA from 1 species